ACUAUGUACAAGAAAGAUGUUUAAAAGUAAGGAAGUAAAAAACUAAUAAAAUAAUGCGAUGUAAUCUACGUGGUCAUCAUGCAGAGGUGGCUGGAAGGUCUCGAGGUUGUCGACAAGCUCAAAGGUCGAAGGGGCAGAGGUGUGGCUAUGUCGGGUUGGAGGGGCUCGGAGGUUGAAGGGGGACGAAGAUCCGAAAGACAAAUGCUGGACUGAUUGAGGGCCUGUACAAUUUGUGACAUCUGGCUCCU
rnacentral:lncRNA from 1 species